rnacentral:rRNA from 1 species
UGAGGAAUUUUGCGCAAUGGGAGCAAUCCUGACGCAGCAACGCCGCGUGGGUGAUGAAGGCCUUCGGGUCGUAAAGCCCUGUCAGGUGGGAAGAAUGUCCCGGGACUGAACAGGUUCCGGGAGUGACGGUACCACAAGAGGAAGCACCGGCUAACUCCGUGCCAGCAGCCGCGGUAAUACGGAGGGUGCAAGCGUUAUUCGGAAUUACUGGGCGUAAAGCGCGUGUAGGCGGUCCUGCAAGUCGGAGGUGAAAGCCCCGGGCUUAACCCGGGAAGUGCAUUGGAAACUGUGGGACCUGAGUACUGGAGAGGAUGGGGGAAUUCCCGGUGUAGAGGUGAAAUUCGUAGAGAUCGGGAGGAAUAUCAGUGGCGAAGGCGCCCAUCUGGACGGUAACUGACGCUGAGACGCGAAAGCGUGGGGAGCAAACA